rnacentral:ncRNA from 1 species
CGACGCCCUUCCGGCAAAGGCGCAGCCCGCCAGCCGGAAGCGAGUCUUGCAUGGACGGCGGCGACGUCGUUCGUGAAGCGUAGACAGCGGAUGCUGAAGCCUUGGGUUAGCCCCGAAAUCAUGUAGUUUCUGAGAGCCUUCGGUCUGUUGGGCCCGGGGGCAGCAGCGGCGGAAUCACUAGGGCGAGAUUCUGCCGGCUCGGCCGGGGUCUUGGAACA